AUGCAGAAGUGAGAGCUGGGGCCUCCGGAAGAUUUACAAUUUUGUUGCAAUUGGUGAUGGACAGCUCUUCUAGCUGGGGAAACAUCACCAAGCUAUUAGGUUCUCCCGCGCUGUUUUCUGCCCAUCUCUCAAACUCCGGCAGUUUAUGCAACCGCAUCAUCUUUAACUUGGGGAAAAUUUCCUGAGAGGUACUAUAUCCUGCAGCUUCCGCAUCAAUGUUCUUACAUAAUGUGGUCAGGCUGUUCAUGGAGCUUAAGUGCAAUUUCUCAAGAGGGGACAACAACCACACUAAUGGUAGAUCCUUGCAGCGUGGGCAGUCGGAAAUCCGUAGUUCUCUUAGACAACAAAACAUUUGGGGGUCUCUCAUCCAUUGUGAGAUUGCCAGGCCACCAUACCCAUGUAGCUCCAAUGUUUUGAGCUUAGUAUAAGGUACAAGCGAUUCCAGUACCUCUUCCUGAUUAUUACUUACAACCUCAUCAUGCAAUGGAUUGUAACCUACUUCACGUCCCCAAUGCAAAAACAGCCCAGUUAGAUUCUUUUUCUCAUGGAGAUUGGCCUUUGAUCCACUCUUUACUUUCCUCAAAUUGAACAGUUCCAACAUGUUUCCAAGUUGUCUCAGGCCUUGGAGCUCCUCGAUACCAAAGCCAUCUCCAGUGUCCACAAUAAAUGAUGUCAGUGUACAGAGGUUGUGUAGUAGACUAAGCUUUGGAGGCAUCCUCUCCAAUCUAAUGCAUCCCAACAGAUAAAUAUGGGUGAGCUGCCUCAUAGUUUGCAUGCCUUCCGGUAAAAAUUUUAGUUUUGUACAAAGAUUGAGCCACAAUGAUUGCAAGUUGUACAGCAUACAAAAUGAAUUCGGCAGUUCAACAAUUUCUGAUCCAGAAAUAUCAAGAUAUCUUAAAUGUGUUGUAUUUAUGAGCCUGUGGAUAACAUAUGCAUCUGGGCAAUGGAUCGCUCGUACUGAUUUCAGUUUUAACUCCUUAACAUCCUUGCACUUUGGGUUUUGAGCUAAUAAAGUUCGGAGAGAUAGCGAGGCUUUCAUUAAUCCAGUGAUUUCAUCCGAUUCAUCCCAUGGCAGCUGCAUGUGACGUACAUUAUUUACGGAGGCUUUCUGCUGAAUCAACUCUUCUGCAAAAGCACACUCAUCUGUGAUAUCUUUUGCUAGGUCAUGCAUUAAAUCAUGCAUUUUACAUCCAAUUUCCUUGCAUCGACGGAAAGGACCAUAUCCAUCAAAUACCUUGACAUUUACAUCUUGAAUAAAUGACCUCCACACCAACUCAUAGAAAACAAAUUCACCUUUUUGCACCAAAUCUAUAUCUCCCUCUGCUUGAAUAAAAUUGUUUGCCAUCCAUAGUUGGAUCAACUUUUCCUUAUCCAUCUCGUAGUCCUUAGGGAAAACCGCACAGAACGCAAAGCACUGCUUCAUUUCAGACGACAAGUGCAUGUAGCUCAGUUUUAGAAUGGACAGUAUUUCAAUGUUGCCACCCCUAUUGCUUUCUGCAAUGGCCUCCCAUUCCUUGAUUUGAUAUUUUGAGCUCAUCAAUCCACCCAUUGUCUUCAAAGCAAGAGGUAGCCCCUUGCACUUGUUGACAAUAAGUUUGCCGACUGUUAUGAACUCUUCUUGCUCUUCCACUCCUUUACAAAAUGCUUUCUUUGAGAACAACUCCCAUGAAUCCUCCUCACUCAGGCAUGCAAGCUCAUGGGUUGGAAGGGUGCCCAUGAUAGAGGCAACUUUUGGGAUUCGACUCGUGACAACUAUCAUGCUUCCCAGUCCACCAAUAGAAGAACAUAGUAGUGGCUUCAGGUCGUCAUCCCACUUGAGCUGGUCUUCAUUCCACACAUCAUCAAGAAUCAAUAGGAACCUUUUUCUACCAAUGACUUCCUGCAGUCUCUGUCGAAGCAGCUCCAUGGUGUCUGGCAGAUCACAUCUUCCAUUUGUAGCUAACUCGAUAACGGACUUCACAACAGCAGUGGCUUCAAAGUUUUCAGACACACAGUGCCACAUCCUGAACUCAAAGUGCUCCUGAACUUUGCGGUCAUUGUACACCAUCUUUGCUAGUGUGGUCUUACCCAAACCUCCCAUUCCAAUGAUGGGCAACACCUGCACACUGCGCUGAUCUUGCUGGUCGAGUAACAGCUUCACCACCACCGCCUUGUCGUCAUCUCUUCCAAAGAUUUCCGCAGACUCGUCGAGUGCAGAGUGCGUCUGCCGAUUCAGAGGUUGUGGCGCCUCUGGCUCGCGCUGAAGCAGGACAAAUUUCUGCAUGUCCUUCACCAGCUUGUCGAUCUUGCCCAGCACGUUCUUGAGGUCCCUGCUCGCCUUAUCACGGAACACAAGUCGAUUCCUUGAGCUGAAGAAAUCCAGUACCUUGCUGGUGGUAGAUCGAAGGCUCUGGGCCUCCCGACGCAGCGCCUCGUACUGGAAGUCAUCGAGGACGUCGUCGGCCUGGUACGCGGCGGCCCUGAGCUCCCUCAUCCACCCCUUGACGGCGCGGCCGGCCUCGGUCUCCGCCUCCGCCUUCGCCUCGGCGUCGGCCAGCAGGGACUGCACGUACAGCAGCUUGAGCUCCAGGUCGCGGCGGUCGUCGUCGACGCCCCACAUGGCGGUGACCUUCUGGACGAGCGCGUCGGCGGCCUUGCCGAGCACGCCGCGCACCACGGGGAGGAGCAGCGUCUCAGCCAUGCUGGGCGGCGCCCUUGCCGGGAUGGAUCUCACUUCUCAGCAGGCUGCAGGCUGCGUGCGCGCCGUCCGCCGUGGGGAGCGAUAGGCAGAGCCGGGGAAUGGUGGUCGAGGCUUCAAUCGGGAACUGGAAGAGAGCUACUGUGCUGGCUGCUGGAGUGCUGGGCCUCCCUCUCGUCGUCGUCGUCUCAACGAGCGCGUGAAAUGAAAGCUUGUGGGUCUUUUUUGUAAAAAGAAAACCUAGUGGGCCUUUCAAUCAAUCAAUAAAGACAAGGGAAUAAAGUAGUGCGCGUGACGUUUCGCUGCAGUUGGCAGCAAUGAUCCACCUAAAUUUAGCAAACCUUAGGUCUGCCAGUGUCAUGUGAGAAAAAAAGUAAGAAAUGCAAAAUUAAACUGCCUAACUUCUGUAGGGAUUAUGCAGUUUUCUUUCAACCUUUUUGUUCUUUGCAACGUAUUCUGUUUGAACAUUUGUAAGGGAAUAUGGGAGCCUUCACGAGGGUCCUGCAUAAUGCAUCUGCAUUUGUACAAUGUUUCACGAAAACAAAACUCUAUGAAAAGAUCCCUCUGAAAAUAAUGCAAUCUAUUUUGAUUGAGCAAGGCACAAUUGCCUUAUAUGUCCACACGUAGAUCACAAGGGCACAUCUCGAUAUGUACAAUCAUCUUUCAUCAGAAGGGCAGCUACUUCAUGAAGAAAGAUGACCAACUCCAUUUACAAGCUUACUAUACUAUACAUCAUCUGCAAACAAAACCAAACCGCUUGCCAGAUGAUUAAAUAAGGACCACUGAUCCUAAAGAAGAAAAAAAUGGGUAAAAAUGAAGAACAAAAAAAUGGGUAAGUCAGUAUCAAGCAGCCUAGCGCUGACACUGCUACAGUAUUGUGUCCGUAGUUCGUGGGCUGUGUGAGCCUCUGGAGUAUAUUCAUGCUCCAUUUUGUUUAUGAAGGUUUACAUAGGCCUUUCUCGUGUUCUUGCGGAAUGAAGUUUGGUCUCCAUGCACAUGACCCUAGAGCGUCCAUGCCUACAGCGUCAACCCUGUAUAAACUGAAGGUUCCAUAGUUAGAUCAUCAGUGCCAGCAUUUUCUUUAUUCCUGUUGCUUGCUUUAUUUUUUUUGGGUCGAGAUUUGCCAUGCCAAUAGGUGUGGACAGAAGACAAGGCUGCUGCUAACUUUCCACACUUUCAAACUCUAUGAAGAAUUGAAUUGGGUCCCAUUCUUUUGGUAUCUUACAAUCUAGAGGUUUAAAUCAGUACAUCGUGCAAAACUUGUACAAAAGUCACCAACCCGACAGUGAGGAUUCAUCCUUGCAUAAAUGGAUAAAAAUGAAGAACAACAAUAGGCGCGCCAUGUUGAGGAAGCUCCAUCCAGAACGACAUAUACAUAAAUUGCUUUCAUGCCACAAACUUGGAUUAUCUGCAAGGCAAGCUGGGACCGGGCGCAACUGGAGCCAUGUUAGUUGAGUCGACCACACCAAAAGGGGGGCUUUGAUUUUCUGAAGAUGUGAUUGCAAGAUUAUCUACUAUGGUCCUCUAACAAAAUAAGAAUAUCUUCAUCGCUUGUUCCACCGUCAAUUGCGUACUGUAAUGCUGUUCUACCAUCUUGAUCCAUCGCUUGUGAAUCGGCCCCUCUGCAUAGAAACGCAAAACACAGAUAUGAGAUGUGUAUUUGCAUUUUUGCUGCUUUCCGGGAUCAUUCCCGGUCACCAAGCAAAACAGAGCUGCGAUGAUAUAUAGUGUCAUACUAGCAGUGAUUCACAUCAACCCUUUUGACGGAGCAAACAUGUAGUGCAAGAUCAAAUUCCUGAGUUAUCAUCAGGUUCUUGCAUACCUGGAGAGGAGAAGCUUGGCAUGCUGAUGUCUUCCUUUCAAAAUGCAGUGAUGAAGGGGUGUCCGACCCUUUGAAUCAGUCAUAUUUACACUAGAGCCAUACUGCAAUAGUAAUUCAACCAUCCCAACAUCUGCGACACGGCAUGCAAGAUGAAGCAAGGAGAAACCUUCACAACUUUCCUCCAUGUCAUCUGUGCGUGAACUUGUGCUAGCAGGGGAAAGGGGCCCUCUUGGAGAAACCUUGCAAGUGUUUACUGUAAUUCGAUCGAGUCCCCACAGGGAAAAGAAAGCCAAACGUGGUGGCAAUGUCGACAAAGUUUCUUUGUGAUCUUUCUUGAUAGGUCGUCGUCAGCCACUGAUGGAGGCCGCAGGCAGCAACUCGACGUCAGCAGAGGAGAGCAAGCUCCACCUGGUGUUCUGCACCGAGGAGGUGUGCCAGCAGCCGCCGAUGUCGGUGUGCUACCAGUCGGAGCUCGAAUGCCGGGAGGAAUGCGACCCCAAGUGCCAGUUGCAGGCAUCGCUUCUUGGUUCUGAGAACUGAGAUGGAAGGCUGUGCGAUUGCCAGUGUUGAGGGGAAUAAUGUGCUGACGAUGAUGCGCUUUUCAUCAUAAGGGAAGGGGGAUGAAGAAUGACGAGGAUACAGAGAAGCAAGCAACUUGAUUUACGAGCUUAGUAUACUGUAAUACAGCAAACAAAACCAAACAUCUAAUAAUAACCACUGAUGCUCACGAAGCAAAAUGAGGGGGCGCAAUGGCGCAUCAUGUUGCAGAGCCCCAGAAGGAUAUAUGCGGUCGGCUGCGUACGAAUCAUCAGCACCCUGCAUAUUCAGAAACAGAAAAAGAAACUGAGACAUACAUUUUUUAUUAAAAAAACAAUUUUGUUCUUCGACGUGAACUGUUUAAUAAAAGCAUUUUUUUAGUUUCUUUUUCGUUAUGCUUGUUCCUCUUGAAAAGAAGAACGCUAAACUUUUCUGAAGUCAUUUGCUGCGAGGUGAGUUUACUGACAAAUGGAUUAUGAGUGCCCUGUCAACUUGGUUUUCAGAAAGAAAACAAAAACUGUUGCUACCAUCUACUAUGGAAUGUUAGCUCAUCGUCUCCACUGCAAUUGGUAAGAGUACCCAGGAUAUCAUCUAUCUAUAAACAUAAAACAUGGCCCAACAGGCAUCACUAAGAAUCGGUCCCAGUCAAACUCUGCAUCUUAUGGAGCUUUGCAAGGCAGUUGAGUAAUACACGCACUGAAGCUGGGACUGGAUCUGAAAUUUACCUCUGUAUAAACCCUUUAUACAAAUCAGCGAGUCAGGUCCAGUUUCUGAAGAGUCUGGAAGGAAGCGACAAUGAUUGCUUUGCUUUCAUAUAUAAGUUUGUGUUGACAAAGGGUACAUUGCUAUCCAAAAGUAUGAGGCGUCGGCAGCAAUUCAACGAGGAGCCAAGGAGUGGGUAAUUUGGGGCACUUCUUCCCAUCGCACUCAACUCAAAAUCUCAGCUUCUGAAGCAACUGAAAAUAAGGGAGAGAAAAUGCAUUCAGAUAUAAUAAAUUGAGUUCUACUGAAUAUGCAUAGCAAGUCAAUCGGAAUAAAAGAAAUAAAGGAGAGAAAACGGUAGUGGACUGUAUGUUAGGAACUGAACGAGAUAUAUAGUUGGAGCGCAAUAAAUAGAUGCAGGAGCAUACGGACCUCAGCUACUUGAAGAGCCACCGACGCACCAGGGGAGCAACCUGCUCUUCGUAGACUUCUUUGUUUCAGGUUCAUCUGGUUGUGGAAUCCUUUUAUCUGGAAUCGAGAAGACCAAGUCGAAGUACUCCCCACCUUCCCUGCAACGUCUCUGCAGGUCCGGGCAGCCAUAUAUUUUCAGGGAUUUGAGGGCUGGGAGCCGCUGGAGGAGACCCUGCGGGAAUUUACUUAUCCCUGGACAAUUAUAGAUCUCCAAUUCCUCAAGAGAAGUGAGGCCGUCCAUCCCGCCCGGCAGCACUUUCAGCUCAGAGCACGACACCAACCCGAGAUGCCUCAGCUUUGCCAGAUCUCCAAGGUUUGAAGGCAGCGCCACCAAACUUCCGCAAUAGAAAAUAUCCAAUUCCUCAAGAGAAGUGAGGCCGUCCAUCCCGCCCGGCAGCACUUUCAGCUCAGAGCACGACACCAACCCGAGAUGCCUCAGCUUUGCCAGAUCUCCAAGGUUUGAAGGCAGCGCCACCAAACUAACGCACCGGCGAAUGUCCAAUUUCUCAAGUAAAGCGGGCAACUUUGGAAUCUCCAACAAGCUACGGCAGGAUCGUAUUUGUAACAUUUCCAACCGGGGCAGCGGAAGGAAUUCCUCAGAGGAUGAUCCCUUCCCCUCUAGUUUGCUGCACCAAUGAAUCUCUAGAGAUUGAAGGCGAACAAAACAUCGGAACUCCUCCACUGGCCAGCGGACAAUAUUGUCGCAUGAAAAGAUUUCCAAAUGUUCCACGAAUGCCAAACAAUCCCCAAGCCCCAGUUGUAAUUUGGAUGAGUUGAACAUUGAUAUGAAGCCAUUGUUACCUUGUACAGCCAAACGUCUAAGGGUGCGUAGAGGUCUUUGGCUUUGGUUUUGAUGGUCCUUCACAGGCAUCACCACGUUUACCAGCCUCCCAAACGUCAAGUGGAUAAGAGAUGGAAAAGAUCCCCACUCCAUGCUCAUAGGAACAAUACAAUCUGCAGACUUCUCCUCAAAAGAUGCAGAAGUGAGAGCUGGGGCCUCCGGAAGAUUUACAAUUUUGUUGCAAUUGGUGAUGGACAGCUCUUCUAGCUGGGGAAACAUCACCAAGCUAUUAGGUUCUCCCGCGCUGUUUUCUGCCCAUCUCUCAAACUCCGGCAGUUUAUGCAACCGCAUCAUCUUUAACUUGGGGAAAAUUUCCUGAGAGGUACUAUAUCCUGCAGCUUCCGCAUCAAUGUUCUUACAUAAUGUGGUCAGGCUGUUCAUGGAGCUUAAGUGCAAUUUCUCAAGAGGGGACAACAACC
rnacentral:lncRNA from 1 species